rnacentral:rRNA from 1 species
AUUGAACGCUGGCGGAAUGCUUUACACAUGCAAGUCGAACGGCAGCACGGACUUCGGUCUGGUGGCGAGUGGCGAACGGGUGAGUAAUACAUCGGAACGUGCCCGGACGUGGGGGAUAACUACUCGAAAGAGUGGCUAAUACCGCAUACGAUCCAAGGAUGAAAGCGGGGGAUCGCAAGACCUCGCGCGUUUGGAGCGGCCGAUGGCAGAUUAGGUAGUUGGUGAGGUAAAGGCUUACCAAGCCUGCGAUCUGUAGCUGGUCUGAGAGGAUGAUCAGCCACACUGGGACUGAGACACGGCCCAGACUCCUACGGGAGGCAGCAGUGGGGAAUUUUGGACAAUGGGCGAAAGCCUGAUCCAGCCAUUCCGCGUGCAGGAUGAAGGCCCUCGGGUUGUAAACUGUCUUUUGUACGGAACGAAAAGGCUCUUGCUAAUACCAGGAGUCCAUGACGGUACCGUAAGAAUAAGCACCGGCUAACUACGUGCCAG